rnacentral:rRNA from 1 species
GACGAACGCUGGCGGCGUGCUUAACACAUGCAAGUCGAACGGUGAAGCGCCUUCCUUUUUGUUUUGUGUGUAUGAGUGGCUGACCGGUGAGUAACACGUGCGUAACCUGCCCCCUUCUUCUGGAUAACCUCAUGAAAGUGUCGCUAAUACGGGAUAUUCUGUGUCUGUCGCAUGAUGGGUCUUUGAAAGCUAUUGUUUCGGUGUGGGCUGAGCUCGCGGCCUAUCAGCUUGGUGGUGGGGUGAUGGCCUACCAAGGCGGUGACGAGUAGCCGGCCGGAGAGGGUGGACGGCAAGAGUGGUGAGGAGAGGCGGAGAAGACUACGAGGGGAGGCAGCAGGGGGGAAUAGAGCAUGAGGGGAGGAAGGCUGAUGCAGCGACGCCGGGGGAGGGAGGGAGGUCGGGGGGUUGUGAACCUCUGUCGGGAGUGAAGAAGGGCUGCCUAGUAUGUGGGUGGGUUGACGGUAGCUGGAGAAGAAGCGCCGGCUAACUACGUG